CUAAAAGAGAGUGAGCCGAACGCUCUUAUUCGUUCUUGAAAUUGAAGGGCUGAGGUUUCGUGUGGCAGCGACAACUGAUAAUUGUGCGCACUCUCUCUUUAGCCUGUGCACGACAUCUCUUCUUGUACCUAAACUCUCGAUUCGGUGAAACCAUCUCUCUCUACCUAAACUCUGGCAUCCCUAUCUCUCUCCCCCGUGAGCUUCUUCCCACCCUCUCCAAAUCCCGUGAGCCUCCUCCCAUUGUCUCUCUCUCCGGUGAGCCUCCUCGCCUCUCUCUCUAUUGCGAGCCUCAUCCAUUUCUCUCCCCCCCACCCUUCGAGAACAACAAUCAGCCUCCUCGCUCAGCAACCCUAAAUCUCCAAAUUCAGCAACCCUAAAUCCCCAAAAUCAGCAACCCCAGUUUUGUGGACUCUGGAAUCUCUCUCACUGGAAGCCUCCUCCAGUUUCAGCAACUCUAAAUAAAAAAUAGUGGUUUCGAUCAACUAUUCACAGCAAGCACUUGUUUAGAAAAGAUGAAGAUGUACCAGAGAAAUUACCUACGACUUGUGUGAGAGCAUUUGAUGUGCAUGUGAACCUAUAUGAAGAAAGGGAGGUCAAAGGGUUUGUUUGUCUGUUAAAAAGCUUCCCUUGCUUAGAAGUUCUUCACAUUAAGUCUCGAUGUGACCAUUUCGGUAUCGGUAGCGAAACUGAUAAAGGUUCCUGGAAAAUGCUGUGCCAUUCUGAGUCUUGGUUGGUUCGCAUCAAGAGAGUAGAGAUCAACAGAAUUACAGGAACUGAGCAAUAAAUAGAAAUGAUUAGGUUCUUUCUAGCAAACACCAAAACAUGGAGAAGCUUAUUGUCAAGAUAGAAAAUGGAUUGGCUUUUUUCAUGAUAGUAAAUGGAUUGUAAAGCCAAGAUGGGUUCGAUUUAGUGAAGCAGUUGAACAUUUUCCCUAUAGCGUCUAAUCAUGCCAAGGUGCAAAUCAUUUAGACUCGCAAAAAAGUUCAGAUAUUUUCAGAGAACUUGGAGGUGUCCCUAGUUUGGGUCCCAUCUGUUUCAUUUUUCUGCCUCUUGUUAAAAUUGUUAAAGAGUAUUUUCUGAAAAGUACAUUAGUUUUUAUGUUAUUUUAUCAUGAGUGAUGUAAUAAGGUUGCACUUGUAAGUUUGCGUAGUAGGAAUUUCUAAAACUACUAGGUGGUUACCCGUUAUUGUUGCAAGUGAGUAGUUAUUGUAGGAAAUAUGCUUUUAAAAACCUCUAUUUAAAGAGAAGUGUAUUGUGGGAAAAAUUGGAUCACAUGUGUUAAGGUUAAAUAGAAGUGUAUUGUGGGAAAAAUUGGGUCACAUGUGUUAAGGUUAAUCUUGGGUGUCAAGAUUGUACUGCCUUUGUGUACCCCAUUUUUCAUCUUUGAAUGAAAGAUUUCUUCCACCUCAUUUUGGUUCUUCUUCUUUUUAUUUGGUUGUGACUCUUGGUCUAGUGUGAUAUUGUUACACUAGUUGAGAAGCGGAUUGUUCCGGUGUUGUGGCAUCCGUCUUUAUCUACACUUACAUAAUGUGAAUCUAAUUCUCUAUGUUUCAGAGGAUAAGCAUUUUGAAAAUGAUGAGUAAUGAAACUUCCUUGCAACCAAUUGUUUCUUCUUUCUAGUGAAUAAUUUAACUGGUAUUAAGUUAAAGAGAUAAUCUGUCCACAUUUUUUUCCAUGGGGUCCUCCUUCCAUAGUCUCUCUUAAUAUUCAUGGAACAAAUUUCCAAGGGUAGAAUUUCCUCAACAUGAUAACGAGCACGCUAGGAUGAUAGAAAAGCACCAAUACAGCAUUUCUGUGCACAUUUUUGGAUAAUCAAGAUUGCAUCAAACAGACAAUUGUGUUCUUCCUUGAAAGCUACCAUGAGCCUAAAUUUUGAAUUAUAGCAGUCACAAGUUUUUACCUGUGACUGCUAUAUGAAGAUAAACACCCUUUCUUGAAAUAAUUCAAAAUGGUUUUUGCACUUUCUGAGUGCAAAAUAACCAUUUCCAGUUUAUCUUUUCCAAAAAUUUUGUUUUAUGUCCUUCAUCAAGGACGAGAGGAUGUGCUUGUCAGGCUUGGGGCCAAAAAGCAGUUUCCUUUAUUUUUCUUUCCUUUUUUUUUCGCACCCCUCAAAGUUUUCCAUGGAUUUCUUCAUUCGCGUUAAGAGAAUGUAUCUCACAAGUUUGGAACGAAGCAGACUCCUCUAAAGCCUCCAAAAAUGGGGCAGGCGAACAAAUCGCGCCAUCCCUCAGUAAAACUUAGAUACCUUGAAAUACCUUCAAAUCCUAAUGCUUAGCAGCAUACAGAAAAGCGAUUUUCCUCUCAAUAUAGGGGUCACGGAAAGCCAAUGACAUGGAACUUUUGGUGAAUUUCAUGGGGCCUAGGACCAAUAUGCAUUCCUUGUAAAUUGUGUGAGUUAAUAAUUUUAUCUUUUCUCCUUAAAUUUGUACUUAAUUUCAGGUGCGUGUAGCAAAGAUGGAGUAUUGAGUAUAACAGAGACAAUAUCUGUUGUGGACUCCAGAUCUUCAGUUCCCAAGCUUGAUUCUUUUUCAACUUCAAAUUCAGAUCUCUCUUCGAUCUUAUUCCCAAUUUGCCACAAUUUGGAAGGCUAUAACAAUUUAAUAAGUGUCAUAGGUAUUCAAUGUGUUGAACUAAAUUGUUAUAGGUAUUCAAUCGUAUUGAAAGUUGGCGAACCACGAAUAUCAUAGGAAAGGCACUUGAUUUACCUCUAGAUUUAUAAUUUGUCCAUUUAUAAGUGGCUAUUGUAUGUGUGGCUUGUUUGAGACUUUUAAGUGGUUAAAGGAGGUGUACUUACAAAUAUUCACCUUGAGGUAUUCUUGGCUUCAGAAGCCAAUAAUGCAAGCUUACUGUCAGAGGGGUUGAGAGACCCAAAGGUCAACAGUAGUAAACUUCCUGCACUGUUGCUAUGAUGCAUUAAGUUCAAGAAUUUAGCUGAUGAUACACAUGUUAAGGAUCGAUGAAGUCUAUUUAAAAGUCUUUUGGUUGAGAUAAUUUAAAACUGCCUUGCUAAUCAUCAUAUAUUACAGCCUGAACUGAUCAAUCAUGGGCAGGAACAUAGAUAUCAAACAUAAGGUUCUUUCUAUUUUUUUGAAUGUGAUGUGACUUUUAUGUACAAAAGAUAUUUUAUGUACAAAGAUAAAUUGUUUAUUUUUUAUAGAUAAUCCCAUUUUACUUUGUGCAUUUAGUUUACAUUUUGCAUUACUAACCUGUGGUUCCUUCCUGGUCGUAUCGACGGUGCAAUAUGCCCCAUGGGACAGUGAAAAAGAUGAAGGAUACUGGAAAAUGCUUUGCCGUUCUGUCGGUUGGUUGGGUUGCCUCAAAAGAAUAGAGAUUGAUAACAUUAGAGGAACUGAAAAUGAACUGGAAAUGAUUUGGUUCUUUCUAGCAGAACACCACAUCACUAGAGAAGUUUAAUAUCGAGAUAGGAAACUUUGGUGAUGAGACAUAAAAAGAAUUGGAGAUCCAGAUAGGGUUUGAGAUAGCCAAGCGAUUGAACUUGUUUCCUAGAGCCUCUAAUCGUGCAAGAGAGAGAGGGGGCAGAGCCUCAUGUACGUAAGAUGUAAGGUUUCCUCUUGAUGGUGCCUCCCCAAGACUCCUGCAGAGUGAGAUGUUGGAAUCUUAUCGAGAAACUCCUAGAGACUCCUACAGAAUGAGAUGUUGGUUUCUUGUAGAGAAUCAGUGGUCUAGCUAUGGAAUAGAGAUGAGAUAUCGGUAGUGGUGCUGUUUGGGAGACGACUUGGGUUUUUGUCAAGGUUUAUAGAGAUAACUCUAUGAUCCAAAAUCUUUGAUGUAACUUUUAUUGAUAUAGUGGAUUUCAGUUUGUCGUU